UCUGCAGCGCUCUCCCUCUCAGCAUCUUUCCUGGGUCCCCCCCCAACCCCCCUUGCUGAGCGGCAGAAAAGGGUGGGGCAGCCUCUCUGCAGCAGAGGCGGCGGCGGCAGCGGCUGCAGCAUCAUCCAAGGCAGCAGCGGAGACGGCGGUGCUCGGUCUGCGCUGGAGGUGAUCGCCUCCAUGCCCUACUAGGUGGCCGGCUGCUACUGGACCGGCGGAAAGGAGAAUCAAGCCCGGUCCGUGGAGCCUGCAGCCACACCACCCAGCACUUCCUCUGCGCCAUGGCUUAAGCCCGCAGUCACCUCGCUUCGCCUCGCCUCGCUCCCCAGGGUCUGCGCGCCGCCGCAGCAGCAGGGAGGGGCGCGUCCCAGACGCCCUAGCCGGGGACUCCAGGACGCCGUGCAGCUGGCCCUUCGGCGCUCGGCGCUCGCAGCAGCUGCGUUCCCGAAGGCGUUUGCAGCCGGUAAUCGAGGCACUUUACAGACUUUAUCUUAGCGAUAGCUCUCCCCGGGUGCUCUCUGAGGGAGGAGGGCGAGGUAGUAGGCUGAUUGGGGGAGAAAGCGGUGGGAAUCACAUUGGUGGGUAGGGACCAGGGGCUGAAGGAAGAUUCUAGAGACUUGCUUUAAAGAUACAAAAAGAAAGAGGGCCAGUUUUGCAUCUAGCAUCAUGGCGUGGCCGUGCAUCACACGGGCCUGCUGCAUCGCCCGUUUCUGGAACCAGUUGGACAAGGCGGACAUAGCGGUGCCGCUGGUUUUCACUAAGUACUCGGAGGCCACCGAAAACCCGGGCGCCCUACCGCAGCCGCCACCGCCACAACAGCAGCAGACUCGGCCCCCCUCGGCGCGCGCGGUCGCCAUAGAGACGCAGCCGGCCCUAGGCGAGUUGGAUGCAGUUGCCCGGGCAACAGGGCCAGCGCCCGGGCCUAGCGGCGAACGUGAGGCGGCGGCGGCGGCCUCCGCCCGGAGUGGGCUGGGCCACGGCGCGGGUUCCGGCUCCACCUCCAGGGCAGGCCCCGCGGACUCGGUGAUGCGGCAGGAUUACCGCGCCUGGAAAGUGCAGCGGCCUGAGCCUAGCUGCCGGCCGCGCAGCGAGUACCAGCCUUCGGACGCGCCCUUUGAGCGGGAGACCCAGUAUCAGAAGGACUUCCGUGCCUGGCCGCUGCCGCGCCGCGGGGACCACCCGUGGAUCCCCAAACCGGUGCAGAUCCCCUCGUCCUCUCAGACUACCGCGCCUAUUCUAGGGGCGCCCAAACGCCGGCCGCAAAGCCAGGAGCGUUGGCCGGUGACCACCGCCGCCGAAGCCAUGGAGCAGGACGCCCCAGGAGGAACCGGUGUCCUGGCGGCCGGAAAGGCUUCCGGUGCGGACGAGAGAGACACCCGCAAGAAGGCGGGGCCCGCCUGGAUGGUGCGUCGCUCCGAGGGGCACGAGCAGACGCCCCCGUCCGAGGCUCUAGCGCAGGCACAGGCCCAGGCACAGGCCGGAGCGGCUGGAAAGGCGUCUGGUGCAGAUGAGCGAGACACUCGCAGGAAGGCGGGGCCCGCCUGGAUGGUGCGUCGCUCUGAGGGAUACGAGCAGACGCCGCUGCCAGCUGCCCAGGCCACUGGCCCAGAGGGUGGCAAGGGGCGCGCAGCUGCAGAUGCCCUCAACCGGCAAAUCCGCGAGGAGGUGACCAGUACAGUGAGCAGCUCCUACAGGAAUGAAUUCAGAGCAUGGACAGACGUCAAGCCUGUGAAACCAAUAAAAGCCAAGCCUCAGUACAAGCCCCCAGAUGACAAGAUGGCUCAUGAGACCAGCUACAGCGCCCAGUUCAAGGGGGAGGCCAAUAAGCCAACAGCAGCUGACAAUAAGAUCAUGGAGCGCAGAAGAAUACGCAGCCUCUAUAGCGAACCUUUCAAGGAACCCCCAAAGGUGGAGAAACCUAGUGUUCAGAGUUCCAAACCAAAAAAGACCUCAGCGAGCCAUAAGCCCCCGAGGAAGGCCAAAGACAAGCAGGUGGCGUCAGGCCAGGCUGCCAAGAAAAAGAGCACGGAGAGUCCCAGUGCCACCAAGCCCGACGACAAGGAGCAAAGCAAAGAGAUGAACAAUAAACUGGCUGAGGCUAAAGAGUAAAUGUCACUGCACUUUCCUUUUAUUCUUCUCUCUCUCUCUCUCUCUCUCUCUCUCUCUCUCUCUCUCUCUCUCUCUNUUUUUAAACCAACAAACAAAAAGGCCACAAAAUUAAUUAGAGACUUCCCCUCUGCCUUGGUCCUGAGUGUUCCAGGAACGCUUUGGUUUUGUUCUUUUAGUGGAGGAGCCCUGGUUCACACACAGGGCCACUCCUCCUCCUGAGGGUGGCCUAUGUCAGCCUCGGGACCCUGGGACACCAGGAAGCCUUGUGCACUGGCCGUGCCUCCCCCUGGGGACCGUACUCAGCCAGCUCCAAGCCCACCUCCUGGGGGGGUGCUUGGAAAUGUCUGCUGUAGGGUCUCUUCCUCCUGCUCCUCCCAAGCUCUGUGUCAGCUGGUUGAUUUUGAACUUUAGAUGGAGUUUCUUUUCCAAAGUUUAGAGGGUGAUCAUGUGCUAUAGAAGCUCAGCUUAUGCUUCACGAUUGACAACAUUUGUGGAAAUGUUAGAAACAAAACGAAGGAAAAAGCAACCUCCUUGGCCUUAAUGUCAAUGGAAUGGAGUUGUCUGUUAACUUUAAUCUUCUAGAAUCUUCUGUUAGAAGUGUGUGCCUGUGUUUUGUUUCCUACUGGUGGGCUUUAAGUUGUACACCAAGUGAUAGAUAGGCACCUGGUGACCGAGACCAGGCCAGCGGUGGUAAAGGGUGGGUGUUGUAGGUGUUGUAGGUGUCAUAGGAAGGCCACAGCUGUAGGAGACUGCCUUCCCAUUUGUCCUCGGCAGGCUGCCAGCGUUGCAGAGUGACAGGUCGAGGGCGACUAAGGACGAAGGGUCCAGGUGGAGGGAGAGAGGACUUAGUGCGUGCUUUCUGUUCCUGAGCUGCCGCCGCGGCAAGCAUGGCGGUGCUGACCCUCCCUCGCUGAAGGGUCUCGCUCUGCUCCACAGAGGCCAGCGGUGCCAGUGCCGAGCUUCAGGUCAGGUGUUUCUAUGACACAGCCGCAGGCUAGGAGAGGACCCUGUGAAAUAACUGUCAGGUCUUUUUGACCUCAUUGAUAGAAAUUUUAAAAAGCAGCUCUCAAUGUAUUCUGUGAUGUGUAUCUGUGUGGCCAAAGCCCCGGGGGAGGUGAGUGCCACCAUAGCUGUGCUAGAGUUGUGUUGUAGGAAUUAGGGAGUCAUUGUGAAAGAUCCCGAGUGCUUAGGAGGGAACCCCAAGUGUCUACCAGAAAGAAUAUAUUUGCAAAUGUGAGGUGUGGAUUGCUCAGCACACUUGAUUUCUCCUGUCCUUGAAGGCCAUCUUCCCCAGCAUUCUGAAUGGCUGGGCUGUGGCCAACACCCAGCCUCUGCCCGGGUGCCUUCUUUUUGUCUUGGAGGAGAAGAGUGGAGGUCUCCCAGCUCCAUACCUCAGAAGCCCCUCCGGGUUCUCCCAGGUUAGAAGCAGCAGAGCUCCCAGGCUCUCUUAUUCUCACUGCCCAGGCAGCAAAGUGUCUGUGUUCUAUUUUGUUUGUUGCGGGGCUGGUUGAGAAGGUCUUUGCAAACUAAAACAGCAUGUGCUACACAGGCCUAGUUUUAAUAAAAUAGGAAAACCAGAAAGAAGAGUCUGUUCAGGCCACUGCCACCUUCCUUUCCCUCAGGGCGUGGCCUGUGAAGGAGAAGUGCCGAAGGCAGGAAAUGCUGGUGAGUCCCAGCACUUAUGAAUCACAAAUUUUAAAUGCCUAUACGGAAGUGACUGGCAUAGAUCUCAGUACUGUUUCCGGCAACUUGUUAGCUAAUCAUAAAACUUACCAGGGAACUCUAACAGAGAAUUUGCAGAUGUCUGGUCAUUCUCUUAAGAUUUCAGCCUUAGCCAGACACGUGGAUGCUAGCUACAGCUAGGAUUUCUCCACGGAGCAUUUUGCAGAUCCAGUGAAUCAGAGUUUAGGACGCACAGGGGAUCAUUCAGGGGUCACUCACAUACGGAAUGCCUUGUGUCAGCACUGUGCUAGACUCGGUAGGCAGUAUAAAUAAAUCUGUCUCCACAGCAGCACAGCCAGAAGAAUGCACCUGAUGGUCCCCUAUGUAGAGUGGCUGAGCCAAGUUGGUGUUGCCCAAGUCAGGGUUUGCUUCAAGGGCCUCACAGGCUUUUGCAACCACUUUGCAGCCCCAGGGACUGCAACUCCUACCCUGCCCUGCCCAAGGCUUUAGAUGACAGUAUAAUCUCCUUUUCAACCUGUCAGUGCCCCCUUCUUUGUCACACACCCACCUGAGAAAACUCUGUGGUUCACUUUGACUCUUGAAUGUGUCACUUUCCUGGCAAGAAAUUUCCUUUGAUUUCUACUGUUUACAAAUAAAACUCAGCCAGUCUCGUUCUGUAUCCUGAACAUACUGAACGAAACUGAUCUUGGUUCCUCAAGCAGUGUUUGGUGUUGCCUUUCUGGAGGUGACGGAGCUUCCAAUGCCUGUCCUGCUCAUUUGCAUACAUUUCUCUGUGGUUGCUGCUCCUACCCCUAGCAAGAGGGCUGGGACACAGACUCGGCCCUUGCCUGCUUGGCCCGCCUGCAGAAAUCCCCGCAGAGCUAUGCGCUGGCUUUCCCAGCUCUGUCUUCUCUGCCCAGGAUCCCGACCAGUCCAUAUAGCUGUGCCUCACUGAGGCAGACAGGAAGUGUCUAAUUGCGAUUUUGUGGCCUGGGUUUUGUUGCAUACCACAGAUUGUCUAUGUAACGUGUAGCGCACACCUCUCUUGGUGCUAUUUCAUUCCCGCUGUUAGUAAGAGAAUGACAAAAAUAUUCAUGUAUAGCCAAUUGAUUGUGACGUGCUUGUGGUCUGUGCUUGCUCAGAAAACAGACAACCGAACAGCUUUUCCAAUUAUAAAUAAAUGCUAAAGACGAACACCA